AACGAACGCUGGCGGCAUGCCUAACACAUGCAAGUCGAACGAGACCUUCGGGUCUAGUGGCGCACGGGUGCGUAACGCGUGGGGACCUGCCCUUAGGUUCGGAAUAACUCCCCGAAAGGGGUGCUAAUACCGGAUAAUGUCUUCGGACCAAAGAUUUAUCGCCUUUGGAUGGGCCCGCGUUGGAUUAGCUAGUUGGUAGGGUAAAAGCCUACCAAGGCGACGAUCCAUAGCUGGUCUGAGAGGAUGGUCAGCCACACUGGGACUGAGACACGGCCCAGACUCCUACGGGAGGCAGCAGUGGGGAAUAUUGGACAAUGGGCGAAAGCCUGAUCCAGCAAUGCCGCGUGAGUGAUGAAGGCCUUAGGGUUGUAAAGCUCUUUUACCCGGGAUGAUAAUGACAGUACCGGGAGAAUAAGCUCCGGCUAACUCCGUG
rnacentral:rRNA from 1 species